UGCCAUGCAUUGAACACAAAGCGAACUAUUCUUUCGCCUUUUACUAAAGAAUACCGUGUAUUCAUUGCUAUACGUGGCAUACCUUAAUUUUUGGUGGGAUUCUUUCUCCAAGAUCCC